rnacentral:rRNA from 1 species
GAUGAACGCUGGCGGCGUGCCUAAUACAUGCAAGUCGAGCGAAUGGAUUAAGAGCUUGCUCUUAUGGAGUUAGCGGCGGACGGGUGAGUAACACGUGGGCAACCUGCCCCGAACUCUGGGAUAACUGCUGGAAACGGUAGCUAAUACCGGAUAUGACCAAUGAAGGCAUCUUCUGUUGGUGGAAAGAAUUUCGGUUCGGGAUGGACUCGCGGCCUAUCAGCUUGUUGGUGAGGUAACGGCUCACCAAGGCGACGACGGGUAGCCGGCCUGAGAGGGUGAUCGGCCACACUGGGACUGAGACACGGCCCAGACUCCUACGGGAGGCAGCAGUGGGGAAUACUGCACAAUGGGCGCAAGCCUGAUGCAGCAACGCCGCGUGAGGGACGACGGCCUUCGGGUUGUAAACCUCUUUUAGUAGGGAAGAAGCGAAAGUGACGGUACCUGCAGAAAAAGCACCGGCUAACUACGUGCCAGCCGCCGCCGUAA